CUAUAAUGUGCAGUAUAACAAACUAUUUUAUAAGUGUCGUGCAAACUGUUCAUUAAACGCCAGUGGUCUAGUGAGCUAUAGAACAUUUUUGUAUUUAUUCUUUAAAGCUCUGACCUCAAUCGGCAAAGCAAUAUUGUAAUGGUGUCCAUUCCAAUCUGCUAUCUAUACUAGCUGUUCUCAAAAAUUCUGAAUAUGUUCAGAGAUUUCUUGGGCAAUAAUAAAUCCCCC